rnacentral:rRNA from 1 species
GACGAACGCUGGCGGCGUGCUUAACACAUGCAAGUCGAGCGAGGCCCCUCCUUCGGGAGGGUGUCCUAGCGGCGAACGGGUGAGUAACACGUGGGCAACCUGCCCCCGGCUCUGGGAUAACUCGAAGAAAUUGGGGCUAAUACCGGAUAUGACCGCUGACCGCAUGGUCUGGUGGUGGAAAGAUUUAUCGGCUGGGGAUGGGCCCGGGGCCUAUCAGCUUGUUGGUGGGGUAGUGGCCUACCAAGGCGACGACGGGUAGCCGGCCUGAGAGGGUGACCGGCCACACUGGGACUGAGACACGGCCCAGACUCCUACGGGAGGCAGCAGUGGGGAAUAUUGCGCAAUGGGCGGAAGCCUGACGCAGCGACGCCGCGUGGGGGAUGACGGCCUUCGGGUUGUAAACCUCUUUCAGCAGGGACGAAGCGAAAGUGACGGUACCUGCAGAAGAAGCACCGGCCAACUACGUGCCAGCAGCCGCCGUAA